rnacentral:lncRNA from 1 species
CUUUGAACACAAGGAUACCAAUUCGAAACCCUAACGGCAGAGGAUAAAAGGAGAGGAGUGACUCAGUAAAGAGGAGGAGAGAGGCGGAAUUGAAAACUUGAAAAGCAAAAAUUAAAACCCUAAUCCUAAACCCGAAAAACCUGGAGGCGGAAAAUCCCAAAGGCAAACUCUAAUCCCAAACACCAAAGAACCAGUAUUGGAAGAGAGGAG